rnacentral:rRNA from 1 species
CGGACGGGUGAGUAAUGUCUGGGAAACUGCCCGAUGGAGGGGGGUAACUACUGGAAACGGUAGCUAAUACCGCAUAACGUCGCAAGACCAAAGAGGGGGACCUUGGGCCUCUUGCCAUCGGAUGUGCCCAGAUGGGAUUAGCUAGUAGGUGGGGUAACGGCUCACCUAGGCGACGAUCCCUAGCUGGUCUGAGAGGAUGACCAGCCACACUGGAACUGAGACACGGUCCAG